rnacentral:lncRNA from 1 species
CAACAUAAUCAUGCAUAAAAUAGGUCUAUACAACACCAAGCCUACUAAUGUUUCAGAUUUAUGCUAGUACUUCUAUACUUGAUACCAAUUUUGGAGUAUCAAAAGUAGGGUAACUCAACUUCCUCUAUACCUCUAUGUUCCACUUCCUCCUACGUAAGGCACAUAUUUCAAAUUGCAUAAACGUAAAGACAGUACUCAAAAUGUAAAUAAAUAAAUAAAUUACAAACAGCGAUAGACCAAAACUCCCCGAAGUUUUAGACCUCUGGUUAAACUAGUAUUACGAGCAAAUUACAUCGAAUUACGUGUGCGCGCGUGUGUGAAAGAGCUUAGGACUGGCAAGCGUAGGUAGGGUAGUAAUGUGGUGAGUCCAAACGAAUUGAGAGCAAAAAAUCGUCGACGCCAUGGAAGACCCUCUCAGAAUGUGACGAAAAGCAGAGAUAUACGCCAUUUCCAUUAUGAUUUUCUUAACGAUAUUAAACAAAAAUGGAUGAUAUACAUUACAAAAUAGAAAUAUGAAAGUUUGCCCCCCAGUGCACAUCCCAACUGGCAAAGAUGAGGGUGCUUCAAGGUUAGCAGAUCAGAGGUCGUGAGUUCGAUUCCUGAAAGGCUCCUGGAAAGCAGGAUUUAUCCUAAAAAGCAGGAGCUCUAUUGGAAGGCAAGGUGCAAAGAUGGGAAACGACUUGCUUGGCACUUUGACAGAUCAGUUGGAAGGUUUUUGAGCACUGGUCAAUUUGGGGCACAACCUGCGGUUUAACCUGUCUGCAGCUUGAGGGGCCAAAGUGUAGACUCCAGGAUUUAAUCACUAUAAGGUGGAUACUUGAAUAUAAAAAAAAGAAAAAAAGAAAUAUGAAAGUCUGAUAUAGGUUUUAUGGUUUGCAGAGAGAGGAAUGCAAAACCCCUGAUUUUGGGUGG